rnacentral:lncRNA from 1 species
UGCACAUCAUCAUCUUCCUGUUCGGAAACCUCACCAUCCUCUUCGUCAUCCUGUUCACUGUCUUCAAGGUCAUCCUCCAUAUCUUCAAGAUCAUCCUCCAUAUCUUCAAGAUCAUCCUCCUCAUCACUCUCACCAGUCUUGGUAUCAGAACUUAUCUCAUCAUCAUCAUUGAUAGUCAUCAGAUCAUUUUCCUGGUCAUUGUCAAAGCCACUGCCUACAGAAUCAUCGGAAUCA